rnacentral:snRNA from 1 species
AGUUUUGCGCAGUGACAGUAUCGUAGCCAAUGAGGUUUAUCUGAGGUGCGAUUAUUGCUCA